rnacentral:rRNA from 1 species
GAUGAACGCUAGCGGCAGGCUUAAUACAUGCAAGUCGAGGGGCAGCAGCUUUGUAGCAAUACAAGGGCUGGCGACCGGCAAACGGGUGCGGAACACGUACGCAACCUUCCUUUAACUGGAAGAUAGCCCACCGAAAGGUGGAUUAAUACUCCAUAACAUAUUGAAGAGGCCAUCUCUUUGAUAUUAAAGCUCCGGCGGUUAAAGAUGGGCGUGCGUCUGAUUAGGUAGUUGGCGGGGUAACGCCCACCAAGCCUUCGAUCAGUAGCUGAUGUGAGAGCAUGAUCAGCCACACGGGCACUGAGACACGGGCCCGACUCCUACGGGAGGCAGCAGUAAGGAAUAUUGGUCAAUGGACGCAAGUCUGAACCAGCCAUGCCGCGUGGAGGAUGAAGG